GCCACACUCUCCUCUGCAUGCAUUAUAUAGAUCUUCUCCAGCAAAUCUGCUGUAUUUUCUGUUGCUAAUUCUAUUCAUUGAUUUUCAUGGGUUCAUCCAGGGUCAUUUUACUUAGCUUUCUACAGAGGCAGCCCAAGUUUCAUGCUUAAGGCCCAAACUAAAUGGUAGGCUGAAUGUGUGAUUGCAUUUGUGGCUCAUUUUAUGCUCCUCUUUUAAACAACAGCUGCAGAGUGGAGUUGGGGGAAAGGGGUCAGGAUUACCAACGAUGCCAGCUUCCUUCAUGGAGCAAAUAUGAGAAGUGCCAGAUUUACGUAUAAGCUAAACAAGCUUAUACAUAAAUACUCUCUUGGGGCCCCCUAAAAAAAUUAAAGAAAAAAAAUGAAUGUACAUUUCC